AUCUUAUCAGUCAUCCCGUGAUCAUGGCACUUGCAACAGUGUCGAAAUAUCGGGAUUAUCAUAUCCCUGUUUUAAACGCGAUGAUUUUUUAUGAAGAAUCCACAAAAGAUUCUGAUGUGAAACGUGGUAGCCUUAGAAUAAGAAAUUAUGAUGAAAAUAACCUAACAACAAUGGAAAAGUUCCUACAAACGGCGUCCACGUUCAACAAAAUCUACAUAGACCCACAGGCGUUGGACAUUGAAGAAUUUUUACCCAGUUCACUAAUAGGCGGCAAUAUAAAAUCCGGCGAACGCCAGUGGUGGUUUUUUAAUCAG